ACUCAAAUGAAUUGACGGGGACCCGCACAAGCGGUGGAGCGUGUUGUUUAAUUCGAUGGUAAGCGAAGAACCUUACCAGGGUUUGACAUCUCGGGAAGGUCUCCGAAAGGAGACUGUGCCUUUGGAACCCGAUGACAGGUGUUGCAUGGCCGUCGUCAGCUCGUGUCGUGAGAUGUUUGGUUAAGUCCAUCAACGAGCGCAACCCUUAUAGUUAGUUGAAUUUCUCUAGCUAGACUGCCCCGGCAACGGGGAGGAAGGAGGGGAUGAUGUCAGGUCAGUAUUACCCUUACACCCUGGGCUACAAACACGCUACAAUGGCCGGUACAAAGGGCAGCUAAGCCGCGAGGCGGAGCAAAUCCCAUCAAAGCCGGUCUCAGUUCGGAUUGCAGGCUGAAACUCGCCUGCAUGAAGCUGGAAUCGCUAGUAACGGUAGGUCAGCACACUACCGUGAAUACGUUCCCGGGUCUUGUACACACCGCCCGU
rnacentral:rRNA from 1 species